rnacentral:lncRNA from 1 species
CACUGGCUGUGGGGGUCAUAGGAAGGACUCAGGGGACGCAGGAGCCCUAGGAAUAGAUCCCUAUCAAUACUUGGUCCUCCAUGGCGCAUUUCAACCAGACCCAAUAUGUUAACCGUUUAUCAUUAUCCCCCAGAGCCAUGGAUGGCUCUAUUUUUUUUUGGAUCAUGUUAAUGCUUCCCUGUUAGAAGUCUGUGCAGAUGAAAAGCAAUGAGCCAGUCCCCCUAAGGUGCUGAGUGCCGUGCCUCACACUCAGUAAGCCUCCCCAACGUGCCUUAUUGUGUCAGCACUCCUGUUAGUAUUCUCACUGUCAUUGUCAUCAUCAUCUUGAUAACAACUUAGAAAGCAGAACUUCUCUCCAUGGAAUUAACAUUUUACAUUGCAGAUGACCCACUGGUUCCUUGACAUGUGAGGUUACAACUGGCCUGUGAGACUAUAGAGAACUGAUGCAUUCAGCAGAGUCCUGUGAUGACUAUUCUGAUUUCCUCUAUGGAUAGUUACUAUCCCAUAUUUUGAAAUCUUCACUAUAUAAAUGCUGUG